rnacentral:rRNA from 1 species
AGUGAACGCUGGCGGCAGGCUUAACACAUGCAAGUCGAGCGGGCACUUUAGGGUGUCAGUGGCGGACGGGUGAGUAACGCGUGGGAACGUGCCCUCUGGUUCGGAAUCACUCAGGGAAACUUGAGUUAAUACCGGAUACGCCCUUUUGGGGUAAGGCUUGCUGCCGGAGGAUGGGCCCGCGUCUGAUUAGCUAGCUGGUGAGGUAACGGCACACCAAGGCGACGAUCAGUAGUUGGUCUGAGAGGAUGAUCCGCGACACUGUGACUGAGACACGGCCCAGACUCCUACGGGAUGCACCAAAGGGGGAUAUAGGACAGUCGGCGCAAGCAUGAUCCACCCAUGCCGCGUGAAUGAUGAAGGCCUUAGGGAUGUAAAGCUCUUUUAUCCGGGACGAUAAUGACGGUACCGAAGGAAUAAGCCCCGGCUAACUACGUG